AGCUUUGCGCAGUGACAAUAUCGUAGCCAAUGAGGUUUAUCUGAGGCACAAUUAUUGCUAAUUGAAAUUACGAUUUUCCUACUUUGAUUGUUUAGUACUGGUAGAUCCUUCAUUAUUGAACUCAGACAUCCUUAUUAUCAGUCUAGUGAUUUUUGCUGCUGUUCUGU
rnacentral:snRNA from 1 species